CGCUAUCUCCACUAAGAUCAGCAAGAAAAAAAAAUCUACCAUCGAGUUGGCGUUUAACGUCAGGCAUUUCCUUUUUAGGGUUGCGUGUUUGAAUGGUGGUUUACGUAUAAAAAUGACCCGUGGAAAUCAAAGAGACAAAGCUAGAGAAAAAGCCCUGAAAAAACAAAAGCAGCAAAAAAAAUCUUCUGCAGAAAAGGAUGUGAAUAAAGGCUCAAAUCUGCAGACUAGAAAGGAAAGGGAUGCUGAUAGAAUGAGAGAAAAACAGCAGGCUGCAGCUGCCAAGAAAGAGUUAGAAUCAAAAGGUGCCUGUGGUGGCAAGUAGUCAACAGGAUAUACAUUACAUUGUAUGUGGAACAUCGAGUAGUCAUCGUACACUACAUGACUUCUUACUCAAAACUAUAUUCCAAGUAUAAUUGCAAUAACAAAUUCUGGUACAUGAUUUAAUUCAGCAUCUGGUGAUAUUAUAUCAACUGAAGUUCUCCCCAGGUCUAUUCAAGCAUGAUGUCAUUGGUAUGCUAGGUUUAUUGUGAUAAUUGUGACACAAAUUACCAUUCAUUUGCAAAUGAAUCACCAUGCUGUAACAUCAAGAUGGGGAAAACACUGGUGGAUUUUAAAUGGAUUUAUUGCACAUCAAUGCUUGCCAAGCCCUUGUUGACAUUGUAAUCAACAAAUUUUUUUUUUAAUCUAGAGUAUAGUCUGAUCGUAACUUAACAUUUAGCUAGAUUUAAGUUGGCUUAGCUUGCAUUAAAUCUAAAUUUUACAGAAUAAACUGCCUAAAUAUGUCUCAUACAUGUAUCAACACGACAAAGAAUAAGUUAAACUUAUUUAUGACAAUGAUACUCACUAAAAGGUUCAAUAGAAAGGCAAAGCUAGCUCGGAGCUAGCUUAGUAGUUAAGUUACGUCUGGUCUGUACAGUACUUGUAUUUGUAUGUUUGCCAUAUAUUUGGAAUAUGUAGUUAUCACAAAAUUAUAUACUAUCAAUGUAUAUCAAUUUUAAAGUUUAUUAUUUCAACUGUGCUGUCAUCGAUAAUGACCAAAUGUAGCUAGUCAUUUAGUGUUGUCAACUUUUUCUUUGUUAUUUUUGUAACCAUGUAUUUGUAACUUGAACUGCUGAUUUUACGCAAUAUUGUUAUGAGAUUCAGGCGUUGUUACUAGUGCAUCUUAUUUUGUUUCAUGUGUAAUUUAUAACAUCAAAAAUACUGAGUGGAGCUACUUUAAUUAACAAUGACCCGCUGGUGAAUGAAUGCUUUUUUUAAGUGUUUUAAUAUUGAGCAAGAAGGUUUCUCAGCUCGAGUUUUAACUGACAUGUUUACUUGUCUGGUGUUCAUGAAAAAUGUUUUCAAUUUGUUUUUGAAAACUAUUCAUCUGAUUGCACUAGGGAAACAUGCAAGGGUUGUUGUGCUUUAAUAACUUGUAAAUGCACUUGUUUACUUUGUGCAACUUGAAAUGAUUUCAAAAAUUUGCAAGAAAGACCAUAAAUGUAGUGGUACCGGUAGUUUUGGUCAAUCACUAAAAAGUAUCUUCCCAAAAUUGAUUCUGCGAGUGUAUACAAUUAUUAGAUUACAAAACUAGUCUUUUUCUUUUGGAAAACAGGAUCUCAUCUGAUUGUAAUUUCCUCUUCACCAUUUCUAAGAAACAUUGUGAGAGAUACUGUAUAGUAGAGUCCCACCACAAACAGGCAGGCUUGUAUUUUUAACUUUUAAAAUCAUCUUCAUCAAAGUAUGCUGGGUACAGCAGGAUUAUUUGUUGGUGAAUGUGGGAGAUUACCAUGUCGGUUGCAUGUACAUCAGUUACAGUGCUUUCCUACAGUUAUGACUAUUCAUGCGAUACAAUGGGGAACAAUGAGAUCACUUAAGCUGGGCAAAUGCCUAUUUAGCUUUUAACUUGUAGCAAGAUCUGUUUUGGCUUAGUUACUAAUCAAGACAUCUGUUCUUUUCUGUAUUUCUAUGAAAUAAAUAUUUAAACAUGAA